rnacentral:rRNA from 2 species
AACGCUAGCUACAGGCUUAACACAUGCAAGUCGAGGGGCAGCAUGAACUUAGCUUGCUAAGUUUGAUGGCGACCGGCGCACGGGUGAGUAACACGUAUCCAACCUGCCGAUGACUCGGGGAUAGCCUUUCGAAAGAAAGAUUAAUACCCGAUGGCAUAGUUCUUCCGCAUGGUGGAACUAUUAAAGAAUUUCGGUCAUCGAUGGGGAUGCGUUCCAUUAGGUUGUUGGCGGGGUAACGGCCCACCAAGCCUUCGAUGGAUAGGGGUUCUGAGAGGAAGGUCCCCCACAUUGGAACUGAGACACGGUCCAAACUCCUACGGGAGGCAGCAGUGAGGAAUAUUGGUCAAUGGACGAGAGUCUGAACCAGCCAAGUAGCGUGAAGGAUGACUGCCCUAUGGGUUGUAAACUUCUUUUAUACGGGAAUAAAGUGAGGCACGUGUGCCUUUUUGUAUGUACCGUAUGAAUAAGGAUCGGCUAACUCCGUGCCAGCAGCCGCGGUAAUACGGAGGAUCCGAGCGUUAUCCGGAUUUAUUGGGUUUAAAGGGAGCGUAGGCGGACGCUUAAGUCAGUUGUGAAAGUUUGCGGCUCAACCGUAAAAUUGCAGUUGAUACUGGGUGUCUUGAGUACAGUAGAGGCAGGCGGAAUUCGUGGUGUAGCGGUGAAAUGCUUAGAUAUCACGAAGAACUCCGAUUG